rnacentral:rRNA from 1 species
UACGUAGGGUCCAAGCGCUAUCCGGAAUCACUGGGCGUAAAGCGUGCGUAGGUGGCGUGUUAAGUGUGAUGUUAAAUCGCGGGGCUCAACCCUGUCGGUGCAUCGCAUACUGGCAUGCUAGAGGGAAGCAGAGGCAAGUGGAAUUGGUAGUGUAGCAGUGAAAUGCGUAGAUAUUACCAGGAACACCAAUGGCGAAGGCAGCUUGCUGGGCUUCUUCUGACACUGAGGUACGAAAGCGUGGGGAGCGAACAGG